rnacentral:rRNA from 1 species
UACGUAGGGUGCAAGCGUUAAUCGGAAUUACUAGGCGUAACGCGUGCGCAGGCGGUUUUGUAAGUCUGUCGUGAAAGCCCGGGCUCAACCUGGGAAUUGCGAUGGAGACUGCAAGGCUUGAAUCUGGCAGAGGGGGGUAGAAUUCCACGUGUAGCAGUGAAAUGCGUAGAGAUGUGGAGGAACACCGAUGGCGAAGGCAGCCCCCUGGGUCAAGAUUGACGCUCAUGCACGAAAGCGUGGGGAGCAAACAGG